rnacentral:rRNA from 1 species
AUGAACGCUAGCGGCAGGCUUAAUACAUGCAAGUUGAGGGGCAGCAUGAUAUACGCGAGUAUAUUGAUGGCGACCGGCGGACGGGUGAGUAAUAGGUAGGAGACCUACCUCAUACAGGGGGAUAGCAUAGAGAAAUCUGUGGUAAUACCCCAUGAGGUUAUAUGAAUAGAGGCAUAUAAUCAAAGCAUAAGCGAUUAUGCGGUAUGAGAGGGGCCUACUGACCAUUAGCUAGUUGGUGAGGUAAGGGCUCACCAAGGCGAAGAUGGUUAGGGGUUUUGAGAGAGAGACCCCCCACAUUGGAACUGAGAGACGGUCCAGACUCCUACGGGAGGCAGCAGUAGGGAAUAUUGGGCAAUGGGCGAAAGCCUGACCCAGCCAUGCCGCGUAAAGGAAGACGGCCUUAUGGGUUGUAAACUUCUUUACUACGCGAAUAGAGGUUAGUACGAGAUACUAAUAGGAAGGUAGUAUAGUAAAAAGCACCGGCUAACUCCGUG